rnacentral:rRNA from 1 species
CCUGUUUUUCAAAAACAUGGCUCUAUGAACUCAAAUGAUAUAGAGUCGUACCUGCCCAGUGAAAAUUUAAACGGCCGCGGUACUCUGACCGUGCAAAGGUAGCAUAAUCAUUUGCCUUAUAAUUAAAGGCUAGUAUGAAUGGUUUGACAAGAAUAUAACUGUCUCCUUGUGACUUAAUAAAACUUUUCUUUUAGGUGAAAAGGCCUGAGUAAAAUUAAUAGACAAGAAGACCCUAUCGAGCUUUAGAAAAAUUAAUAGAUAGCCCGUUAUUUACUAAAAUCAGUUUACUAUUAUAACACUUUAGUUGGGGCGACUAAGGAACACAUAAAGCUUCCUUUAACUUAAUUUUAAAAAUAAAUUAAUACUAGAUCCAAUAUCAUUGAUAAGAAGAAAUAGUUACCGUAGGGAUAACAGCAUAAUCUUUUUUAAGAGCUCAUAUCGAAAAAAAGGUUUGUGACCUCGAUGUUGGACCAGAAUGUCCCAAAGGCGCAGCAGUCUUUAAGGGUUGGUCUGUUCGACCAUUAAAAUUCUACGUGAUCUGAGUUCAGACCGGA